AUUUAAAUACAGGAAGUACAUGGAACGUCCUCUGUCACGUGGUAGCGUUGCAAGUUGGUCACAGACGAACUAAACAGUGGCUAUUUUCGUGUUACUUACGUCAAGAAGGUCGACGACGCUGUAAAACACAUUGUAGAAGAGGCCCUGAAAUGAGUGGCAAAACGACAGGAUAUUUUCUGCGGAGGUCACUAUGGCCUUGUAAUCUUUUAGGUCCAUUGCAUAUGCGGCGCAUAUCAGCGAACGCCAGUCGUCGGUGCAGUUCGAGUGAACCAACCAAGCAAGCGAAUUCAGUGAAGAGAUCCCAGUUCAUCCCAGCUGCUGAAUCUAAGCAUGACUGGGUUGGUCCACCUCACAGGCUGUCUAACCUGCGACCAAUCAUAUACCACAUCCCUGAGAAUGAGACUGAAUUGGAGAAGCAGCUUAGAACCUUGAGGCAAGAGACGGAGGAUUGGAACCAUGCGUUCUGGACCAAUCAGAAUAUCACUUUCAACAAGGAGAAGGAUGCCUUCGUCCUCUCACAACUGAAGGAGAAAGGCUUGACUGAGAGAGAUGAGAAAGGAAGGAAAAGGGCUUUAAACAGUGAAGAAAUGGCAGUCUUUUACAAACAUUUCCUGGAUGAAAACUGCAUAAGACAUGCAAAUUACAAUAAGUAAUUUUGGGUACUAUUGCUUACAGUUUAUCAAACAGGUGCAAAAGGAUGCCCUGUAUUGUCCUACUGUUUAAUGAGGGGGAUUGGUACAGACGUAACUUCACAAUCACCUUGCUUAUGGGCAGAGUGGCUUUCCACAGCGUCUGGAGAACACUUGCUGAGAGAAGAGGCUGGAAGAAAGGCAGCCCUACCACAUGAUACUCCAUUAAAUAUGCUAUCUUCUAUUCUCUCA